GUAGGUGAACCUGCGGAAGGAUCAUUAACACGUAUCCAACGUAUCCAACCCGUGGUCCUGUGCGCGGCUACACGUGAAGUGAUAGAAACUACUUUGCAGUCUGCGUGACGGCAAAAGAAGGUUUCGGGGAAAGGGCUUGGUGCAACCUACGUGGUUGUCAUAUGUCUUUUCACCGAAAUCAGGUAAUAUCAAUCCUCUGUGAGAGGGUAGCUUCCGUGGCAGACGUUUUAACCAACAAUUUAACCCAAUAGUCUAACUUUAGAAAUAAGUAUGAUGCGCUCUGCUUUAUUUCGACCAUACGAAAUGUUACAACUCUUAACAACGGAUAUCUUGGUUCUC
rnacentral:misc_RNA from 1 species